GUGCCAGCAGCCGCGGUAAUACAGAGGCGGCGAGCGUUGUUCGGAUUUACUGGGCGUAAAGGGUGCGUAGGCGGUUCUGUGUGUCGGAUGUGAAAUCUCACAGCUCAACUGUGGAAUUGCAUUCGAAACUACAGGGCUGGAGUACAGGAGAGGAGAGCGGAAUUCUCGGUGUAGCGGUGAAAUGCGUAGAUAUCGAGAGGAACACCGGUGGCGAAGGCGGCUCUCUGGACUGAUACUGACGCUGAGGCACGAAAGCUGGGGGAGCAAACAGGAUUAGAUACCCCUGUAGUCC
rnacentral:rRNA from 1 species